rnacentral:misc_RNA from 1 species
GGGCUGAACUCGCACCAACGGACUUGAGUCGACGCGGGAUCUCGUUCUCAUUUGCCCAAUUGCUAAAACUAUAAAUCAAAGCCAUCGUUCUAAUCAAUUUCUCAAUAAAUUUCACUCUGAAAUUCAAGAAUCUUGUUGAGUUUCUGAAAUUCAAUGCUAAAGGCAAUACAGAUUCUUGGUUCAUCGUCAGGGUUCGUGGCUUUUCGAUGGAAACCGCAUGCCACUAGCGGUUUUAUCUUAGUCUCCACCAACCCAUUAUCUUAUUCUGCUCCUAGGAAAGGACCCACAAGACCUUCUCUUCUGUCAUCGCCUUUUUCGACUAGCAAAGCUAAUUCUUUAAGGGCACUUUGUGCGCACUCUACUGGGUCCGAGUCAAAGAUGGAUGCUUCUUCUCCUGCUCCUCCAUCGAUUGCAGUUCAGUCAGCUGGAAUUGUUCGCAAGAUCAAUUUUUGUCAAUGGUGUGGUGGUGCAACAAAGUAUGAGAUACCUGAUGGAGAGGAAAAGAUGAGAGCUAUUUGCACACUUUGUGGGAAAAUUGCCUACCAGAACCCUAAAAUGGUUGUGGGAUGCCUCAUUGAGCAUGACAACAAGGUCCUACUCUGCAAGCGAAAUAUCCAACCAUCUUAUGGCCUUUGGACUCUUCCUGCUGGUUACUUGGAAAUUGGUGAGUCAGCUGCUGAAGGGGCAAUCAGGGAAACCUGGGAAGAAGCACGCGCAGAGGUAGAAGUGUUGUCACCUUUUGCUCAAUUAGACAUCCCUCUAAUUGGCCAGACGUACAUAAUUUUCUUCACAAAGUUGAAGAAGCCCCAUUUUUCACCAGGGCCAGAGUCAUCGGAGUGUCGGCUUUUUUCACUUGAUGAUAUACCUUUUGAUUCUCUGGCCUUUUCAUCCAUGUUCGUUACAUUAAAUUUGUAUACUGAGGAUGUUAAAGCUGGAAGACUAAAAUUUCACUAUGGUACCAUUAAUAAAAGGCCUGGCACAAGCCCUUCUGAUAUCCAUGCCUUUACUCUUGACUAUCAUUUGCAGUCCUGAAAGAUGACGAUUCCUUUGCCUUGGUUUGUGAGAGGAUUAACAAGAAGCGAACACAUCAAAUUUUGAACAGCUUAGAUUGAAAUUCUUUUAUUUUCAUCCCGUGUUGGAAGAUGGAGAUGGUUAAGCAGUUUCAUUUGGUGUUUGGAGGCUAUCUGGCGAAGGAGCGAAUAUACCCUAUAAUGACAGGAUUAUCAGAAUGGCGUCGGGACUUCUUAUGUUGUUUUAUUUGUAAUUGGCCAACUUAAUGGUUUUGAUUGUUAUCAAAUACUGUAUCCAAAAUGCAGGGCAUAAUUCUUAUGCAUUGAAGUGAUACCUGUAACUAAUGAAUAAGCCUUCUCAGCUUUUAGUUUUCAGGAUCUUCUGUUUUUAUGGUUUCGAACUUCCAAUAUAUGUCUGGACUGGAAUUCGAAAAGUGCCUUACAGACCUUCUU